UAAAAUUUAGGGCAUGUGUCAUGCUCCAGGUAAUUACGAAAUUUACUUCGGGCAACAGCUGCUGCUCCCAAACCCUAAACUUAGAGUAGCAUAUAUAGUCUUAACAAGUGCCCCUUCAAAGUUCUUGAGCAACCUCGGAGCCGACAAUAAUUUCAAGAUCGAUUUCAAGAUCCAUUACAUGAUGAUGUUGGAUAUAUUGCGCAAGGGUUUUGAGUACUAGACAUUGAAUUUCUCAAUGUUGCAAUGAGAUUAAUUCUAAGCUUCUUCCUUCUGAUGGCAAAUUUUGAAUAAGUUUUAUUAAUUUUCAUUUUGAACUAUAAGAUUUUUAGAUUAUUGUGUUUAUUUUUAGAGAAAAUAUUUUCUAAA